rnacentral:rRNA from 1 species
CGGUGACUAUAGCGAAGAGGUCCCACCUGUUCCCAUCUCGAACACAGUAGUUAAGCUCUUCAGCGCCGAUGAUACCUGGCGGGCGACUGCCCGGGAAAGCAGGACGUUGCCG